rnacentral:rRNA from 1 species
AGCGAACGCUGGCGGCAGGCUUAGCACAUGCAAGUCGAGCGGGCACUUUCGGGUGUCAGCGGCGGACGGGUGAGUAACGCGUGGGAACGUGCCCUCUGGUUCGGAAUAACUCAGGGAAACUUGAGCUAAUACCGGAUACGCCCUUUUGGGGAAAGGCUUGCUGCCGGAGGAUCGGCCCGCGUCUGAUUAGCUAGUUGGUGAGGUAACGGCUCACCAAGGCGACGAUCAGUAGCUGGUCUGAGAGGAUGAUCAGCCACACUGGGACUGAGACACGGCCCAGACUCCUACGGGAGGCAGCAGUGGGGAAUAUUGGACAAUGGGCGCAAGCCUGAUCCAGCCAUGCCGCGUGAGUGAUGAAGGCCUUAGGGUUGUAAAGCUCUUUUAUCCGGGACGAUAAUGACGGUACCGGAGGAAUAAGCCCCGGCUAACUUCGUG